AGACGGGACCCGCACAAGCAGCGGAGCAUGUGGUUUAAUUCGAAGCAACGACGAAGAACCUUACCAGAUCUUGACAUCCAAUUGACCAUCUUUUAAUCGAGAUUUUGCCUUCGGGUACAAUUGAGACAGGUGGUGCAUGGUUGUCGUCAGCUCGUGUCGUGAGAUGUUGGGUUAAGUCCGCAACGAGCGCAACCCUUGUGUUUAGUUGCAACAGGUCAAGCUGUGCACUCUAGACAGACUGCCGUGGACAACACGGAGGAAGGUGGGGAUGACGUCAAAUCAUCAUGCCCCUUAUGAUCUGGGCUACACACGUGCUACAAUGGCCGGCACAGCGGGAAGCGAGGCAGUGAUGCCGAGCGGAUCCCUUAAAGCCGGUCUCAGUUCGGAUUGAAGUCUGCAACUCGACUUCAUGAAGCUGGAAUCGCUAGUAAUCGCAGAUCAGCCAAGCUGCGGUGAAUACGUUCCCGGGCCUU
rnacentral:rRNA from 1 species